UGAGGAAUAUUGCACAAUGGGCGAAAGCUUGAUGCAGCAACGCCGCGUGAGGGAUGAAGGCCUUCGGGUCGUAAACCUCUUUUCUGAGGGACGAGACAAGGACGGUACCUCGGGAAUAAGUCUCGGCUAACUACGUGCCAGCAGCCGCGGUAAAACGUAGGAGGCGAGCGUUAUCCGGAUUUACUGGGCGUAAAGCGCACGCGGGCGGCUUCGUGAGUCGGAUGUGAAAGCUCCUGGCUUAACUGGGAGAGGCCAUUCGAUACUGCGGGGCUUGAGGUUGGGAGAGGGGUGUGGAAUUCCUGGUGUAGUGGUGGAAUGCGUAGAUAUCAGGAGGAACACCUGUGGCGAAGGCGGCACCCUGGCCCACACCUGACGCUGAGGUGCGAAAGCGUGGGUAGCAAACAGG
rnacentral:rRNA from 1 species